CUACGGGGCGCUCCAGUAGGGAAUCUUAGACAAUGGGGAAAACCCUGAUCUAGCCAUGCCGCGUGAGUGAUGAAGGCCUUAGGGUUGUAAAGCUCUUUCGCUGGGGAAGAUAAUGACGGUACCCAGUAAAGAAACCCCGGCUAACUCCGUGCCAGCAGCCGCGGUAAUACGGAGGGGGUUAGCGUUGUUCGGAAUUACUGGGCGUAAAGCGCGCGUAGGCGGGCUAUUAAGUCAGGGGUGAAAUCCCGGGGCUCAACCCCGGAACUGCCUUCGAUACUGGUAGUCUUGAGUUCGAGAGAGGUGAGUGGAAUUCCGAGUGUAGAGGUGAAAUUCGUAGAUAUUCGGAGGAACAUCAGUGGCGAAGGCGACUCACUGGCUCGAUACUGACGCUGAGGUGCGAAAGUGUGGGGAGCAAACAGGAUUAGAUACCCGAGUAGUC
rnacentral:rRNA from 1 species